GGGGGCCCAGGUGACCUACGGCACGGUGUGAGGGGGCCGUACCUCAUGCAGAGUGUUGGUGGAAUUUCCUGCAUAGUGUGCGGCCUCCCCACACAGCGCUGGGUUUUUCUAGCCAGAAAUG
rnacentral:precursor_RNA from 13 species